AGUGAACGCUGGCGGUAGGCCUAACACAUGCAAGUCGAACGGCAGCACAGUAAGAGCUUGCUCUUACGGGUGGCGAGUGGCGGACGGGUGAGGAAUACAUCGGAAUCUACUUUUUCGUGGGGGAUAACGUAGGGAAACUUACGCUAAUACCGCAUACGACCUACGGGUGGAAGCAGGGGAUCUUCGGACCUUGCGCGAUUGAAUGAGCCGAUGUCGGAUUAGCUAGUUGGCGGGGUAAAGGCCCACCAAGGCGGCGAUCCGUAGCUGGUCUGAGAGGAUGAUCAGCCACACUGGAACUGAGACACGGUCCAGACUCCUACGGGAGGCAGCAGUGGGGAAUAUUGGACAAUGGGCGCAAGCCUGAUCCAGCCAUACCGCGUGGGUGAAGAAGGCCUUCGGGUUGUAAAGCCCUUUUGUUGGGAAAGAAAAGCAGCAGGUUAAUACCCCGCUGUUCUGACGGUACCCAAAGAAUAAGCACCGGCUAACUUCGUG
rnacentral:rRNA from 1 species